UUUUCCACCACCCUGAACGCACCUGAUCUCAGGAGCUAAACAGGGUUGGGCCUGGUUAGUACUUGGAUGGAAGAA
rnacentral:rRNA from 1 species